rnacentral:rRNA from 1 species
GAUGAACGCUGGCGGCGUGCCUAACACAUGCAAGUCGAGCGAAGCACUUACUUUAGAUUUCUUCGGAAUGACGAAGUUUGUGACUGAGCGGCGGACGGGUGAGUAACGCGUGGGCAACCUGCCCUGUACAGGGGGAUAACAGUUAGAAAUGACUGCUAAUACCGCAUAAGCCCACAGCUUCGCAUGGAGCAGUGGGAAAAACUCCGGUGGUACAGGAUGGGCCCGCGUCUGAUUAGCUAGUUGGUAAGGUAACGGCUUACCAAGGCGACGAUCAGUAGCCGACCUGAGAGGGUGACCGGCCACAUUGGGACUGAGACACGGCCCAAACUCCUACGGGAAGCAGCAGUGGGGAAUAUUGCACAAUGGGGGAAACCCUGAUGCAGCGACGCCGCGUGAGCGAUGAAGUAUUUCGGUAUGUAAAGCUCUAUCAGCAGGGAAGAAAGUGACGGUACCUGACUAAGAAGCCCCGGCUAACUACGUG